rnacentral:rRNA from 1 species
GACGAACGCUGGCGGCGUGCUUAACACAUGCAAGUCGAACGGAAAGGCCCUGCUUGCAGGGUACUCGAGUGGCGAACGGGUGAGUAACACGUGGGUGAUCUGCCCUGCACUUCGGGAUAAGCCUGGGAAACUGGGUCUAAUACCGGAUAGGAGCCAUUUUUAGUGUGAUGGUUGGAAAGUUUUUUCGGUGUAGGAUGAGCUCGCGGCCUAUCAGCUUGUUGGUGGGGUAAUGGCCUACCAAGGCGGCGACGGGUAGCCGGCCUGAGAGGGUGGACGGCCACAUUGGGACUGAGAUACGGCCCAGACUCCUACGGGAGGCAGCAGUGGGGAAUAUUGCACAAUGGGCGCAAGCCUGAUGCAGCGACGCCGCGUGGGGGAUGACGGCCUUCGGGUUGUAAACUCCUUUCGCUAGGGACGAAGCUGUUUGUGACGGUACCUAGAUAAGAAGCACCGGCUAACUACGUG